GGAGGAUUCUCUGGAGAGUCCCCGUUUUUGUGCGGGGCGCCGAAGGGUUACGGCUAUUAGAGCUUAUAUCUCAGGCAAAAAGGACAGGGGAUUUUUC
rnacentral:ncRNA from 2 species